rnacentral:rRNA from 1 species
UAGUHGCGKGKAGAGCMYAKGAAMGAGYGYAGCUUGWAWAUCGYKKGGYUUUGCGUCDCGAAUUGUAGUCUGGAGAAGCGUCCUCUGCAGCGGACCGGGCCCAAGUUCCCUGGAACGGGACGUCGGAGAGGGUGAGAGCCCCGUCGAGCUCGGACCCUGCUGCUCCACGAGGCGCUAUCGGCGAGUCGGGCUGUUUGGGAAUGCAGCCCUAAGUGGGUGGUAAAUUCCAUCCAAGGCUAAAUACUGGCAGGAGACCGAUAGCGAACAAGUACCGCGAGGGAAAGAUGAAAAGGACUUUGAAAAGAGAGUUAAAAAGUGCUUGAAAUUGCUGGGAGGGAAGCGAAUGGAGGCUGCGGGUGCGCCCCGGUUGGAUGCGGAACGGCGAGAGCUGGUCCGCCGCUCAACGCGGGGUGCUGGUCAGCGUGGGCUAUCCCGGCGGGACAAGAGCGAGCUUUUGUUGCUGGCCUAUGCCGUUGGGGUGGCCGAGGAAGUGARGCGCGCGCCUUCGGGCGGCCCUCGGGACCUGCGCGCUCGGGACGCUGGCGUAUUGAGCUUUCCAUCCGGCCCGUCUUGAAACACGGACCAAGGAGUCUAACAUGUAUGCGAGCCGGUGGGUGGCAAACCCAUAGAGGCGCAAGUAACCUGACAGGUGGGAUCCGCAAGGAGCACCAUCGACCGACCAUGAUCUUCUGUGAAAGGUUUGAGUGUGAGCAUACCUKCUGGGACCCGAAAGAUGGUGAACUAUGCCUGAGCAGSGCGAA